UACGGAGGGGGCUAGCGUUGUUCGGAAUUAUUGGGCGUAAAGGGCGCGUAGGCGGCCCUGCAAGUCAAAGGUGAAAUCCCUCGGCUCAACUGAGGAACUGCCUUUGAAACUGCGGGGCUUGAGGCCGGGAGGGGGUAGCGGAAUUCCCAGUGUAGCGGUGAAAUGCGUAGAUAUUGGGAGGAACACCAGUGGCGAAGGCGGCUACCUGGACCGGUUCUGACGCUGAUGCGCGAAAGCGUGGGUAGCAAACAGG
rnacentral:rRNA from 1 species